rnacentral:rRNA from 1 species
AUUGUACGCUGGCGGAAUGCUUUACACAUGCAAGUCGAACGGCAGCACGGACUUCGGUCUGGUGGCGAGUGGCGAACGGGUGAGUAAUGUAUCGGAACGUGCCCAGUCGUGGGGGAUAACGUAGUGAAAAUUACGCUAAUACCGCAUACGAUCUAUGGAUGAAAGCGGGGGAUCGCAAGACCUCGCGCGAUUGGAGCGGCCGAUAUCAGAUUAGGUAGUUGGUGGGGUAAAGGCCCACCAAGCCAACGAUCUGUAGCUGGUCUGAGAGGACGACCAGCCACACUGGAACUGAGACACGGUCCAGACUCCUACAGGAGGCAGCAGUGGGGAAUUUUGGACAAUGGGCGAAAGCCUGAUCCAGCCAUUCCGCGUGCAGGAUGAAGGCCCUCGGGUUGUAAACUGCUUUUGUACAGAACGAAAAGGUUUCUACUAAUACUAGGAGCUCAUGACGGUACUGUAAGAAUAAGCACCAGCUAACUACGUGCCAGCAGCCGCCGUAA